GUGCCAGCAGCCGCGGUAAUACGGGGGGAGCAAGCGUUGUUCGGAUUUACUGGGCGUAAAGGGCGCGUAGGCGGAUGUUUAAGUCAGAGGUGAAAGCCCAGGGCUCAACCUUGGAACUGCCUUUGAUACUGGGCAUCUUGAGUAUGGGAGAGGUGAGUGGAACUCCGAGUGUAGAGGUGAAAUUCGUAGAUAUUCGGAAGAACACCAGUGGCGAAGGCGACUCACUGGCCCAUUACUGACGCUGAGGCGCGAAAGCGUGGGGAGCAAACAGGAUUAGAUACCCGUGUAGUCC
rnacentral:rRNA from 1 species